rnacentral:misc_RNA from 1 species
AAGUCGUAACAAGGUUUCCGUAGGUGAACCUGCGGAAGGAUCAUUCACAGUGAGUGUUUUAUGGCACUCUUUAAAAAUCCAUAUCCACCUUGUGUGCAAUGUUUGUUGGGAGAGAGGCAACUCUUUCCCUUCACAAAUAUCAACCUAUAUCUUUAACAACAUUCGUCUGAUAACAUAUUAUGAAUAUACUUAAUUCAAAAUAUAA